ACUCCUACGGGAGGCAGCAGUGGGGAAUAUUGCACAAUGGGCGAAAGCCUGAUGCAGCGACGCCGCGUGAGGGAUGAAGGCCUUCGGGUUGUAAACCUCUUUCAGCAGGGAAGAAGUGUCUGGGUUUUCUCGGGCGUGACGGUACCUGCAGAAGAAGCACCGGCUAACUACGUGCCAGCAGCCGCGGUAAUACGUAGGGUGCAAGCGUUGUCCGGAAUUAUUGGGCGUAAAGAGCUUGUAGGCGGUUUGUCGCGUCUGCUGUGAAAUUUCGGGGCUCAACCCCGAACUUGCAGUGGGUACGGGCAGACUAGAGUGUGGUAGGGGAGACUGGAAUUCCUGGUGUAGCGGUGAAAUGCGCAGAUAUCAGGAGGAACACCGAUGGCGAAGGCAGGUCUCUGGGCCACUACUGACGCUGAGAAGCGAAAGCAUGGGGAGCGAACAGGAUUAGAUACCCUGGUAGUCCAUGCCGUAAACGUUGGGAACUAGGUGUAGAGGGUAUCGACCCCUUCUGUGCCGGAGUUAACGCAAUAAGUACCCCGCCUGGGGAGUACGGCCGCAAGGUUGAAACUCAAAUGAAUUGACGGA
rnacentral:rRNA from 1 species